rnacentral:rRNA from 1 species
AUUGAACGCUGGCGGCAGGCUUAACACAUGCAAGUCGAGCGAGCGGCGGACGGGUGAGUCAUGUCUGGGACCCUGCCUGAUGGCGGGGGAUAACUACUGGAAACGGUAGCUAAUCCCGCAUACCAUCAGAUGUGCCCAGAUGGGAUUGGCUAGUAGGUGGGGUAAUGGCUGACCUAGGAGACGAUCCCUAGCUGGUCUGAGAGGAUGACCAGCCACACUGGAACUGAGACACGGUCCAGACUCCUACGGGAGGCAGCAGUGGGGAAUAUUGCACAAUGGGCGCAAGCCUGAUGCAGCCAUGCCGCGUGUGUGAAGAAGGCCUUCGGGUUGUAAAGCACUGUCAGCGAGGAGGCGUUACUCGCAGAAGAAGCACCGGCUAACUCCGUGCCAGCAGCCGCGGUAAUAC